rnacentral:rRNA from 1 species
GCAGUCGAGCGAGCUUGCCUAGAUGAUUUUAGUGCUUGCACUAAAUGAAACUAGAUACAAGCGAGCGGCGGACGGGUGAGUAACACGUGGGUAACCUGCCCAAGAGACUGGGAUAACACCUGGAAACAGAUGCUAAUACCGGAUAACAACACUAGACGCAUGUCUAGAGUUUGAAAGAUGGUUCUGCUAUCACUCUUGGAUGGACCUGCGGUGCAUUAGCUAGUUGGUAAGGUAACGGCUUACCAAGGCAAUGAUGCAUAGCCGAGUUGAGAGACUGAUCGGCCACAUUGGGACUGAGACACGGCCCAAACUCCUACGGGAGGCAGCAGUAGGGAAUCUUCCACAAUGGACGAAAGUCUGAUGGAGCAACGCCGCGUGAGUGAAGAAGGGUUUCGGCUCGUAAAGCUCUGUUGGUAGUGAAGAAAGAUAGAGGUAGUAACUGGCCUUUAUUUGACGGUAAUUACUUAGAAAGUCACGGCUAACUACGUGCCAGCAGCCGCGGUAAUACGUAGGUGGCAAGCGUUGUCCGGAUUUAUUGGGCGUAAAGCGAGUGCAGGCGGUUCAAUAAGUCUGAUGUGAAAGCCUUCGGCUCAACCGGAGAAUUGCAUCAGAAACUGUUGAACUUGAGUGCAGAAGAGGAGAGUGGAACUCCAUGUGUAGCGGUGGAAUGCGUAGAUAUAUGGAAGAACACCAGUGGCGAAGGCGGCUCUCUGGUCUGCAACUGACGCUGAGGCUCGAAAGCAUGGGUAGCGAACAGGAUUAGAUACCCUGGUAGUCCAUGCCGUANACGAUGAGUGCUAANUGUUGGGAGGUUUCCGCCUCUCAGUGCUGCAGCUAACGCU